UACGUAGGGGUCGAGCGUUGUCCGGAGUUACUGGGCGUAAAGCGCGCGCAGGCGGCGCGAUAAGACCGGCGUGAAAGCCCCCGGCUCAACCGGGGAGGGUCGUUGGUGACUGUCGCGCUUGAAGGCAGCAGGGGUGAGUGGAACUCCCGGUGUAGUGGUGAAAUGCGUAGAGAUCGGGAAGAACACCAGUGGCGAAGGCGAGUCCCUGGACAACACCUGACACUGAGGCACGAAAGCUAGGGGAGCAAACAGG
rnacentral:rRNA from 1 species